rnacentral:rRNA from 1 species
CAGUCGUACGAUGAAACCGUGCUUGCACCGGUGAUUAGUGGCGAACGGGUGAGUAACACGUGAGUAACCUGCCCUUGACUCUGGGAUAAGCCUGGGAAACUGGGUCUAAUACCGGAUAUGACCUUCCAUCGCAUGGUGGUUGGUGGAAAGCUUUUGUGGUUUUGGAUGGACUCGCGGCCUAUCAGCUUGUUGGUGAGGUAAUGGCUUACCAAGGCGACGACGGGUAGCCGGCCUGAGAGGGUGACCGGCCACACUGGGACUGAGACACGGCCCAGACUCCUACGGGAGGCAGCAGUGGGGAAUAUUGCACAAUGGGCGCAAGCCUGAUGCAGCGACGCCGCGUGAGGGAUGACGGCCUUCGGGUUGUAACCCUCUUUCAGUAGGAAAAGCAAAGUGACGGACCUGCAGAAGAACGCCGGCUAACUACUGCCGCAGCCGCGGUAUACUAGGCGCAGCGUAUCCGGAAUUAUUGG